ACAUUUGUAGCAAAAUUUGGUUCCGCAACCGGUUGACACCAGUUUUGGAUAAUAGGGAAUCCGAUUAAAAUUCGGAGCUGUACCCGCAGCUGUAAGUUCGUUAAUUACUUUUUGAAAUACCCGUUGCCACUUUCAAUUAUUUACUUGAAGGGAAGGCCUCAAAAAGUCGGACAAGCCAGAAGACCUGCCAAAAUUUUUAAUUAUUG
rnacentral:ncRNA from 2 species